AUACGUAGGUGACAAGCGUUAUCCGGAUUUACUGGGCGUAAAGGGCGUGUAGGCGGUCUUGCAAGUCAGAAGUGAAAUUCCUGAGCUCAACUCGGGCGCUGCUUCUGAAACUGCAGGACUUGAGUGCUGGAGGGGAUAGCGGAAUUCCUAGUGGAGCGGUAAAAUGCGCAGAUAUUAGGAAGAACACCGGUGGCGAAGGCGGCUAUCUGGACAUUAACUGACGCUGGGGCGCGAAAGCGGGGGGAGCAAACAGGAUUAGGUACCCGGGUAGUCCACGCCGUAAACGAUGAAUACUAGGUGUAGGGGGUAUCGACUCCCUCUGUGCCGCAGGUAACACAAUAAGUAUUCCGCCUGGGGAGUACGGCCGCAAGGUUGAAACUCAAAUGAAUUGACGGGG
rnacentral:rRNA from 1 species